CCUUGCUCUGUUAUGUGAUCUGUUGCUUCUGGUGAGUCACUGUUUUCAAUUAGGGGGCUGCUUAAAAGCAAGGCGAGAAUAGUCAUCCAAAGCCUGUGAAAGGAUCAACCUCAUGGAUGGACUUUUUUUUUUUCAGGGAUCAUUUUUGCUGAGAGUUCUGACUCAUGGGGGAGUAUUAUAGUCUCCAGUGUAACCUACAAACCUUGGAUUCUCGGGUGAUGCCUCAUCCAAGAGCUAACUAGUCCCAAUCCCACUUAGUUUCUGAGCCAGCAUAAGAUUGGCCAGGUGCUGCCACUGCUGAGAUCACAGGGAAGGAUCAAUGAAUCAUAAUUAAGAACUGAGGCCUUGAGCAGGAUGGGGAUAUUCCCAGUGGGUUCUCAAGAAUCCAAGCAAUGACUCCAUUGAAGCCAUCAGUGAAGAGACUGCAAUAUGUUCCCGCUAUCCUUUUUUAAAAAAUCGAAAUAUAAAUCCAGAAGAAGGAGAUGAGGGGAACUGGAAGAGUUUCAAAUGGAUUUUCUCACCAGUGCUCCAAAGCAGAACUGCCAUUAUGCCAGAAACAUUAGGAGGCCCUAUAAAAUUUUAGACCUUAAAUUCAUUCCACAUUUCUGGGAGACAGCUCUAUUCCAGGUGCAACAUGGAUGCAAAACCUAGCUUUUGCAGCUACACAUUGCAGUAUAUAAACUUGAAAGGUAGCAGAAAUUAUUCCAUUGUAUCUUGACCUGUUAGGUAAUAGAAAGCCUUCUUGGUUAAGUAAAGAGCUGAAGUGAGCAGUUAAGGUUAGAGGUAAAGAUUGAUGUCAAAGACAUAGGGUUCAUACAGAAGAAAGACCCUAUGUUAAAAAAAUUGUUGCAAGCUAUAACCAGAAAUGAGAAUGGAUAGACAAAAAGGUCUGUUUGCAGAAAGGGAAGGUUUUUUUAAAAUAUAGGUAUAAGGAUGACCUUGGCACAGAUCCAACCAUUUUCUUUCAGCCAAGCACUUCAUCCUUCCACAAAUUUCUUUUCACUUCAUAUGUCAAGCAACACCUUUCAGUUUCAGCCUUAGGGAGGGUCAAAAUAAUGUCCCAAACCAAAGACACAGGAUUGGAGAAAUGCCACAUUGCCCAGAAGUUCAAUUUUUAAUUAGCUUUCAAGUAGUUGGGAUUGAAACCGCUAGCCUGAAAACGAAACAUUUGUUUUAAAUACAUUGUUAGCGCUUGUGAUUAUAAAAUAAAAUAAAAAAAGAUUCCUAGGGAAUGAUA